rnacentral:rRNA from 1 species
AGGACGAACGCUGGCGGCGUGCUUAACACAUGCAAGUCGAACGGGAGUAUUGAAGAAGCUUGCUUUAGAGAUACUUUAGUGGCGGACGGGUGAGUAACGCGUGAGGAGCUGUCCUAUGCAGGGGGACAACAGCUGGAAACGGCUGCUAAUACCCCAUAAGCCGAGAGGUAAAAGGAUCAAUCCGGCAGAGGAGGUACUCGCGUCCUAUCAGCUAGUAGGUGAGGUAACGGCUCACCUAGGCGAAGACGGGUAGCCGGCCUGAGAGGGCGAACGGCCACACUGGAACUGAGAUACGGUCCAGACUCCUACGGGAGGCAGCAGUGGGGAAUAUUGGGCAAUGGGGGAAAAACCCCUGACCCAGCGACGCCGCGUGGGUGAAGAAAUCCUUCGGGAUGUAAAGCCCUGUUGUAUGGGAAGAGCGGAAGACGGUACCAUACGAGGAAGCCCCGGCAAACUACGUGCCAGCCGCGGC